GAGUUUGAUCCUGGCUCAGGAUGAACGCUGGCGGCAUGCCUAACACAUGCAAGUCGAGCGGCAGCAUGCUCACUGAAUCUUUCACGCGUUUGGAAGGUUUUGUGAGUGAUGGCGAGCGGCGGACGGCUGAGUAACGCGUGGGAAUCCACCCCAAAGUGAGGGAUAACGCACCGAAAGGUGUGCUAAUACCGCAUAUGGUCUUCGGAUUAAAGUUUUAACGCUUUGGGAGGAGCCCGCGUCGGAUUAGAUAGUUGGUGAGGUAAUGGCUCACCAAGUCGACGAUCCGUAGCUGGUCUGAGAGGAUGAUCAGCCAGACUGGAACUGAGAUACGGUCCAGACUCCUACGGGAGGCAGCAGUGAGGAAUAUUCCACAAUGGGCGAAAGCCUGAUGGAGCAAUGCCGCGUGCAGGAUGAAGGCCCUCGGGUUGUAAACUGCUUUUAUAUGAGAAGACUAUGACGGUAACAUAUGAAUAAGGACCGGCUAACUACGUGCCAGCAGCCGCGGUCAUACGUAGGGUCCAAGCGUUAUCCGGAGUGACUGGGCGUAAAGAGUUGCGUAGGCGGUUAUGUAAGCGAGUGAUGAAAACUAUCGGCUCAACCGAUAGCCUAUUAUUCGAACUGCAUAACUCGAGAGUAUCAGAGGUCGCUGGAAUUCCUAGUGUAGGAGUGAAAUCCGUAGAUAUUAGGAGGAACACCAAUGGCGUAGGCAGGCGACUGGGAUAUUUCUGACGCUAAGGCACGAAAGCGUGGGGAGCGAACCGGAUUAGAUACCCGGGUAGUCCACGCCGUAAACUAUGGAUGCUAAUUGUUUGGGGUAUCGACCCCUCGAGUAAUAAAGCUAACGCGUUAAGCAUCCCGCCUGCGGAGUACGGCCGCAAGGCUAAAACAUAAAGGAAUUGACGGGGACCCGCACAAGCGGUGGAGGAUGUUCUUUAAUUCGAUGCUAAGCGAAGAACCUUACCAGGGCUUGACAUCCCUUGAAUUUCUCCGAAAGGAGAGAGUGCUUUAUUGAACAAGGUGACAGAUUCUGCAUGGCCGUCGUCAGCUCGUGUCGUGAGAUGUUUGGUUAAGUCCCGCAACGAGCGCAACCCUUGU
rnacentral:rRNA from 1 species